UACGAAGGGGGCUAGCGUUGUUCGGAAUCACUGGGCGUAAAGGGCGCGUAGGCGGCUUUUCAAGUCGGGGGUGAAAGCCUGUGGCUCAACCACAGAAUUGCCUUCGAUACUGUUAGGCUUGAGACCGGAAGAGGUGAGUGGAACUGCGAGUGUAGAGGUGAAAUUCGUAGAUAUUCGCAAGAACACCAGUGGCGAAGGCGGCUCACUGGCCCGAUACUGACGCUGAGGCACGAAAGCGUGGGGAGCAAACAGG
rnacentral:rRNA from 1 species